AUUGAACGCUGGCGGCAGGCUUAACACAUGCAAGUCGAGCGGAAACGAUGGUAGCUUGCUACCAGGCGUCGAGCGGCGGACGGGUGAGUAAUACUUAGGAAUCUACCUAGUAGUGGGGGAUGGCUCGGGGAAACUCGAAUUAAUACCGCAUACGACCUACGGGAGAAAGGGGGCAACUUGUUGCUCUCGCUAUUAGAUGAGCCUAAGUCGGAUUAGCUAGAUGGUGGGGUAAAGGCCUACCAUGGCGACGAUCUGUAGCUGGUCUGAGAGGAUGAUCAGCCACACCGGGACUGAGACACGGCCCGGACUCCUACGGGAGGCAGCAGUGGGGAAUAUUGGACAAUGGGGGCAACCCUGAUCCAGCCAUGCCGCGUGUGUGAAGAAGGCCUUUUGGUUGUAAAGCACUUUAAGCAGUGAAGAAGACUCCGUGGUUAAUACCCACGGACGAUGACAUUAGCUGCAGAAUAAGCACCGGCUAACUCUGUGCCAGCAGCCGCGGUAAUACAGAGGGUGCAAGCGUUAAUCGGAAUUACUGGGCGUAAAGCGAGCGUAGGUGGCUUGAUAAGUCAGAUGUGAAAUCCCCGGGCUUAACCUGGGAACUGCAUCUGAUACUGUUAGGCUAGAAUAGGUGAGAGGAAGGUAGAAUUCCAGGUGUAGCGGUGAAAUGCGUAGAGAUCUGGAGGAAUACCGAUGGCGAAGGCAGCCUUCUGGCAUCAUAUUGACACUGAGGUUCGAAAGCGUGGGUAGCAAACAGG
rnacentral:rRNA from 1 species